AACAUGUCUUUUUGAAUUAAUUUAAAGUCCAAUCUGCCCACUGAUUAUAAAUUAAAGGGCUGCAGUAAUUUGACUGUACAAAGGUAGCAUAAUCAUUAGUCUUUUAAUUGAAGACUUGUAUGAAUGAUUUGAUGAGAUAUAAACUGUCUCUUAUUUAUAUUUAAAAUUUAAUUUUUUAGUUAAAAAGCUAAAAUACUUUUAAAAGACGAGAAGACCCUAUAGAGUUUUAUAAAUUUAUUAAUAAAAUAUUUAUAUAAAAUUUUAAUAUUUUAUUAAUAAAUUUAUUUUGUUGGGGUGAUAGAAAAAUAAAAAUAACUUUUUUUAAAAAUUAACAAAUAUAAUUGAGUAAAUGAUCCAAAAUAUUGAUUGAAAGAAAAAAUUACCUUAGGGAUAACAGCGUAAUAUUUUUUUUUAGUACGAAUAAAAAAAAAAGUUUGCGACCUCGAUGUUGGAUUAAGAUAAAAUUUAAAUGCAAAAGUUUAAAAUUUUGAUCUGUUCGAUCAUUAAAAUCUUACAUGA
rnacentral:rRNA from 1 species